GGUAGCCGGCCUGAGAGGGCGACCGGCCACACUGGGACUGAGACACGGCCCAGACUCCUACGGGAGGCAGCAGUGGGGAAUAUUGCACAAUGGGCGAAAGCCUGAUGCAGCGACGCCGCGUGAGGGAUGACGGCCUUCGGGUUGUAAACCUCUUUCAGCAGGGAAGAAGCGCAAGUGACGGUACCUGCAGAAGAAGCACCGGCUAACUACGUGCCAGCAGCCGCGGUAAUACGUAGGGUGCGAGCGUUGUCCGGAUUUAUUGGGCGUAAAGAGCUCGUAGGCGGCUUGUCGCGUCGGAUGUGAAAGCCCGGGGCUUAACUCCGGGUCUGCAUUCGAUACGGGCAGGCUAGAGUGUGGUAGGGGAGAUCGGAAUUCCUGGUGUAGCGGUGAAAUGCGCAGAUAUCAGGAGGAACACCGGUGGCGAAGGCGGAUCUCUGGGCCAUUACUGACGCUGAGGAGCGAAAGCGUGGGGAGCGAACAGGAUUAGAUACCCUGGUAGUCCACGCCGUAAACGUUGGGAACUAGGUGUGGGUCACAUUCCACGUGGUCCGCGCCGCAGCUAACGCAUUAAGUUCCCCGCCU
rnacentral:rRNA from 1 species